UAUCCCUGGAUCCCAGUUAUAUGUGAAUGGAGACCUGAGGCUGCAGCAGAAACAGCCGCUGAGCUGUGGUGGCCUAGAUGCCCGAUACAAUACCCCAGAAAGGAAUUUCCAAUCCAAAACGUUUAUGACCAUUGUUAAGGAUUGUAAUUCAUCUUGCCAAACCACAACCAGGAAAGACUGCUCAUUUCUUCUCCCUGCAGCAGGGAGUUCUUGUUUAAGAUCACAUCACUGAUUACAAGACCUUCAAAUGCUUUAUCCUCUUCAGAUGCCUGGUCUCUGCCCUGUUAUCUGUAAGGGGAAAAUACCUUAUUUAUUUAUUGAAACGU